rnacentral:rRNA from 1 species
UACGUAGGUGACCAGCGUUGUCCGGAUUUACUGGGCGUAAAGAGCGCGCAGGCGGUCGUUCAAGUCGAGUGUGAAAGCCCCCGGCUCAACUGGGGAGGGUCACUCGAUACUGAUCGACUUGAAGGCAGGAGAGGGAAGCGGAAUUCCCGGUGUAGUGGUGAAAUGCGUAGAUAUCGGGAGGAGCACCAGUGGCGAAGGCGGCUUCCUGGCCUGUUCUUGACGCUGAGGCGCGAAAGCUAGGGGAGCAAACGGG